UAAGCGGAGGAAAAGAAACCAACAGGGAUUGCCUUAGUAACGGCGAGUGAAGCGGCAAGAGCUCAAAUUUGAAAUCUGGCACUUUCAGUGUCCGAGUUGUAAUUUGAAGAAGGCAGUCUUGGUAGUCAACCUUGUCUAUGUUCCUUGGAACAGGACGUCACAGAGGGUGAGAAUCCCGUGCGAUGAGGAUUGGCUGCUAUGUAAGGCGCUUUCGAAGAGUCGAGUUGUUUGGGAAUGCAGCUCUAAGUGGGUGGUAAAUUCCAUCUAAAGCUAAAUAUUGGCGAGAGACCGAUAGCGAACAAGUACAGUGAUGGAAAGAUGAAAAGAACUUUGAAAAGAGAGUGAAACAGUACGUGAAAUUGUUGAAAGGGAAGGGCUUGAGAUUAGACUUGGCUUUGCUCAAUCAUUUCUCCUUGUGGGAGGUGCUCUUGGCUUUGCCGGGCCAGCAUCGGUUUUGGUGGUGGGAUAAUAGCGAUUGAAUGUGGCCCCUCGGGGUGUUAUAGCCUUCGUUGAUACCGCCUACCGGGACCGAGGACUGCGUCUUGACAAGGAUG
rnacentral:rRNA from 1 species